UACGUAGGGACCGAGCGUUGUCCGGAAUCAUUGGGCGUAAAGAGCGUGUAGGCGGCCUUUUAAGUCCUGCGUGAAAUCCUGCGGCUCAACCGCAGACGGUCGUGGGAAACUGGAAGGCUAGAGUGCGGGAGAGGAGAGUGGAAUUCCCGGUGUAGCGGUGAAAUGCGCAGAGUAUCGGGAAGAACACCCGUGGCGAAGGCGGCUCUCUGGAACGCAACUGACGCUGAGACGCGAAAGCGUGGGGAGCAAACAGG
rnacentral:rRNA from 1 species